UUCUGACCGUAAACGAUGCCAACUAGCGAUCCGCCGGUGGCUACCAGGCCCUGGUGGGGAGCUUCCCGGAAACGAAAGUCUUCCGGUUCCGGGGGAAGUAUGGUUGCAAAGCUGAAACUUAAAGGAAUUGACGGAAGGGCACCACCAGGAGUGGAGCCUGCGGCUUAAUUUGACUCAACACGGGAAAACUCACCCGGCCCGGACACCGUAAGGAUUGACAGAUUGAUAGCUUUUUCAUGAUUCGGUGGUUGGUGGUGCAUGGCCGUUCUUAGUUCGUGGAUCGAUUUGUCUGGUUUAUUCCGAUAACGAGCGAGACUCCAGCCUACUAACUAGUACGAGCAUUGCCUCUGUGCUCGGCACUUCUUAGAGGGAUUGGCUGCGUCUAGCGGCACGAAACGGAGCAAUAACAGGUCUGUGAUGCCCUUAGAUGUCCGGGGCUGCACGCGCGCUACACUGGCAAAGGCAACGUGCUUGUCCGUCUCCGAAAGGAGCCGGUAAACCCUUGAAAAUUUGCCGUGAUUGGGAUCGGAAAUUGCAAUUAUUUUCCGUGAACGAGGAAUUCCUAGUAAGUGCGAGUCAUCAGCUCGCGUUGAUUACGUCCCUGCCCUUUGUACACACCGCCCGUCGCUGCCUAGAACUGAGCCAUUUCGAGAAUAUUCGGGAUCGUUGGUUGCGUGUCUUUCGGGWCAUGCCUCCGGCCAGAGAACGAACGUAAUCGCAAUGGCUUGAACCGGGCAAAAGU
rnacentral:rRNA from 1 species